rnacentral:rRNA from 1 species
AGAAUUGAUCUGGUCAGAACGAACGCUGGCGGCGCGUCUAAGCAUGCAAGUCGAACGGCAAGAGGUAGCAAUACCUCCUAGAGUGGACGGACUGGUGAGUAACACGUGGGUGACAUACCCUUCAGAUGGGGAUAGCUAUUAGAAAUAGUAGAUAAUACCGAAUACGAGCACAGGGGUUAGAGAUCUGUGAGGAAAGGAGCUAAGGCUCCGCUGAAGGAAUGGCCUGCGGCCCAUUAGCUAGUUGGUGAGGUAAGAGCCCACCAAGGCGAUGAUGGGUAUCCGGCCUUAGAGGGUGAACGGACACAUUGGGACUGAGAUACGGCCCAGACUCCUACGGGAGGCAGCAGCUAAGAAUAUUCCGCAAUGGACGAAAGUCUGACGGAGCGACGCCGCGUGGAUGAAGAAGGCCGGAAGGUUGUAAAAAUCCUUUUGAAACUGAAGAAUAAGCGUUGUAGGGAAUGACAGCGUGGUGACAGUAGGUUUUGAAUAAGCAACGGCUAAUUACGUGCCAGCCGCAGC